CUUCAGCAAAACUCCAGCUCCUGUACGAGAAGGAAACGGAGAACCAUUACGCAAAAAUCUCAACGAUUUUGUUGGCGUUUGCCACGGAAUUUUCGACCCAUAAAUACCCCUAAACCUCCUCCGUUUUUGCUCCCCGAAAUCCCCAAUUUUUGCGCCGCCAGGCUGCGCAAAUUUCUCGCCGGAGUUCCAAUCUGCCGCCGCCAUUGGAGCUCAGAACCGGAGGCCACUAGAACGUCGAGGAAACAUCGCCGGAGUCCCGACACCGUCCGCCGCCUUCAGCCGCCCAUAACCACCAACUGGAGCCUGGCUGAACUACACCGAGAUCACGAACGUGACGGAAAUCGUCUGCGGCUUCACGUCCACGCCUUGGCUGUGUCGGAGAAUCACUAGAACGCCUUCGCCAUUCACGUCUAAUUCACCGUCUUUCGUGCAAUAGAUUGCCCGGAUUGCAACGAGUGCGAUUGCGACGACUGUCUGAACACCGACCAAGG